GACGAACGCUGGCGGCGUGCUUAACACAUGCAAGUCGAACGGAAAGGCCCUGCUCUUGUGGGGUGCUCGAGUGGCGCACGGGUGAGUAACACGUGAGUAAACUGUCCUUGUCUUUGGGAGAACUUCAGGAAACUGGGGCUAAUACAGGAUAGGAGCUCCUGCUGCAUGGUGGGGGUUGGUAAGAUUCGGCGGUUGGGGAUGGACUCGCGGCUUAUGAGCUUGUUGGUGGAGUAGUGGCUUACCAAGGUUUUGACGGGUAGCCGGCCUGAGAGGGUGACCGGCGACAUUGGGACUAAGAUACGGACCAGACGCGUACGGGAGGCAGCAGUGGGGAAUCUUGCACAAUGGGCGGAAGCCUGAUGCAGCAACGCCGCGUGCGGGAUGACGGCCUUCGGGUUAUAAACCGCUUUCGCCGGUGACGAAGCGUGAGUGACGGUAAUGGGUAAAAAAGCACCGGCUAACUACGUG
rnacentral:rRNA from 1 species